rnacentral:lncRNA from 1 species
GAGGGAAUUCAUUCACAAGGGAAGUUUGGGUGGAGGCUUACAGUAGAAAUCCAAUGCGGACUGCUCGUAGUAGAAAUUUGAAGUAGAUCGCUUGUAGUAGUAGCUCGGAGUAGAUCACUUGUAGUAGUAGCUCGGAGUAGAUCGCUUGUAGCAGAAGCUCGGAGUCCGGCUCUUGUAAGAAUUCGGAUGAGGUCUACCUAC